GCAGCAGACCACCGCCUCGGGCCACGCUGCGCCGCGCGGCGCCAUUGGAGCGAGGAAGAGCGGUGACCAAUGAGAGCUGGGAGGGGCGGGAAGGCGAUCACGCCAACCGCUCGCCAUUGGCGUCUCCUCAGACAGCGUGGCCAAUAGCGCCGUGGGGGCAGUUAUAAAGUCUGCAGCGGGGGCAAGCACCCGGCCUUUCCAGGUGGGAGGGCUCGGCGGGAACCGGAUCGCGGCGGCCCGAGGGGCUGUGAGGCGGGGACGGUGAACAGCGACGGAGGACCCGGCGGCGGGCGGUUUUCCUGUGCGGUGUGGCCUGAGCGGCGGGGGGUGCGGCUGCUCCCGGCCUUCUGGGCUGGUAAGGCGCGGCCCCGUUCGUUCCUAGCGUAUUGUGCCGGGAGGUGGUGCUGAGCUGGCCCGGGUGUUCAGCCCCGCGCCCGUAGGCCGCGUCAGGAAGCUGCAGUCGGGGGUAAGGCACGGAGGGGCCUUGGGCGGGUGAAGCUGGGGCUGGAGGAACCACUUGGUGCCUUGGCAUUGCUGCUGUGCCAGCGCAGUGUAGGCUGCAGGCCUCGGAGCAGAGCAAACGCUGCAGCUCCGACUACAGCUAAAAAACGUGCUUGUCUGGGGUUGCUGUGUCAAAGGAGGAAGCUGCUGUUUCUCAAGCUGUACAAUUUGGGAGUCGAGAGUUUUAAAGCACAAAGAAGCAGUCACAGAAUUGGCUAAAGUACAAGAAAUCAAAAGUCAUUGACGACUUCUCUGCCACAUGGGGUAGCUUAAGGUAAACACCAUGGCAGGUGGUGUUGCAGCAGUAUGGGUAAUUGAGAGCAUUCACAGAAUCAACUCCAGUGCUAGACUGUGUAGACGGUUCAUAUCUUUGAUACUCACUAGCAUGGAUUCUAACAAGUUGCUCAAGUAAUGAUCUUUCUCCAACAUCAAAUCAAGUUCAGGCUUGUAAUUUUUAAAUUGUUUGCUGUUGUAUUUCCACUUUGGCUUCUAUAUUAUACCAAUUUUACAGCUUAUACAUCUAAUAAAGUUUUCAAAAUA